rnacentral:rRNA from 1 species
AAAGAUUAAGCCAUGCAUGUCUAAGUAUAAACGAUCUAAUCGUGAAACCGCGAAUGGCUCAUUAUAACAGCUAUAAUUUACUUGACCUUGACACUAUCCUACUUGGAUAACUGUGGUAAUUCUAGAGCUAAUACAUGCAUUAAAGCUCUGACCUCACGGGAAGAGUGCACUUAUUAGAACAAAACCAAGCGGCUUCGGCUGUUUUCGGUUGACUCAUAGUAACUGAGCUGAUCGCACGGUCUUGUACCGGCGACGUGUCUUUCAAGUAUCUGCCGUAUCAACUUUCGAUGGUAGUGUAUCUGACUACCAUGGUGAUCACGCGUAACGGAGAAUAAGGGUUCGGCUCCGGAGAGUUCGCCUGAGAAAUCGCGAACACAUCUAAGGAAGGCAGCAGGCGCGAAAAUUACCCACUCUCAGCACGAGGAGGUAGUGACGAAAAAUAACGAGACCGUUCUCUUAUGAGGCCGGUCAUCGGAAUGGGUACAAUUUAAACCCUUUAACGAGUAUCUAUGAGAGGGCAAGUCUGGUGCCAGCAGCCGCGGUAAUUCCAGCUCUCAAAGUGCAUAGAAUUAUUGCUGCGGUUAAAAAGCUCGUAGUUGGAUCUGUGCCAUAGGACGUGGUCCACCUUCUGGGUGCGUACUAUGUUCCUAGGCUUUUUGCUGGUUUUCCCGUCGUAGCCUUCAUUGGUUGCGGCGGGUGGCUGGCGAGUUUACUUUGAGAAAAUCAGAGUGCUCAACACAGGCGUAUCGCUUGAAUGAUUGUGCAUGGAAUAAUAGAAAAGGAUUUCGGUCCUCUUUUAUUGGUUUUGUGGACUGAGAUAAUGGUUAACAGGGACCAACGGGGGCAUUCGUAUCGCUGCGUGAGAGGUGAAAUUCUUGGACCGUAGCGAGACGCCCUACUGCGAAAGCAUUUGCCAAGAAUG